rnacentral:rRNA from 1 species
CCUACGGGAGGCAGCAGUGAGGAAUAUUGGUCAAUGGUCGGGAGACUGAACCAGCCAAGCCGCGUGAGGGAGGAAGGUACAGAGUAUCGUAAACCUCUUUUGUCAGGGAACAAAGACUGGGACGCGUCCACGGAUGAGUGUACCUGAAGAAAAAGCAUCGGCUAACCCCGUGCCAGCAGCCGCGGUAAUACGGAGGAUGCGCGCGUUAUCCGGAUUUAUUGGGUUUAAAGGGUGCGCAGGCGGGCUGUAAAGGAAGGGGUAAAAGCCCGGGGCUCAACCCCGGCCCGCCGUUGAAACUGGCAGUCUCGAGUUGGAGAGAAGUAUGCGGAAUGCGCGGUGUAGCGGUGAAAUGCAUAGAUAUCGCGCAGAACUCCGAUGGCGAAGGCAGCAUGCCGGCUCCACACUGACGCUGAGGCACGAAAGCGUGGGUAUCGAACAGGAUUAGAUACCCCUGUAGUC